UGGGGAAUAUUGCACAAUGGAGGGAACUCUGAUGCAGCGACGCCGCGUGAGUGAUGAAGGAAUUCGUUUCGUAAAACUCUGUUCUAUGGGAAGAAAAGGACUGUACCAUAGGAGAAAGCUCCGGCUAAAUACGUGCCAGCAGCCGCGGUAAUACGUAUGGAGCGAGCGUUGUCCGGAAUUAUUGGGCGUAAAGGGUGCGCAGGCGGCUUUACAAGUUGGAUGUGAAAUAUUGUGGCUCAACCACAAACGUGCAUCCAAAACUGCGAAGCUUGAGUUAAGGAGAGGUAAGUGGAAUUCCUGGUGUAGCGGUGGAAUGCGUAGAUAUCAGGAGGAAUACCGGUGGCGAAGGCGACUUACUGGACUUAAACUGACGCUCAGGCACGAAAGCGUGGGGAGCAAACAGG
rnacentral:rRNA from 1 species